GCCCUUAAAAUAAUUAAAGGUGAAACCUGCCCACUGGUUAUUAAACUAAAAAUUUUAAUUAAAUUUUAAUAUAACUUAAAGGACGCGGUACCUUGACCGUGGUAAUGUAGCAUAAUCACUCGCCAUUUAAUUGGUGGAUAGUAUGAAUGGUUAAACGAAUAUAACACUGUCUCAAGUAAAGAAUUUAUAAAAUUGGAAUAAUAGUAAAGAUACUAUUUAGAAUUGUAAGACGAAAAGACCCUAUAGAGCUUAACUAUAAAAUUUCUUUUAAAAUAAUAAAUUUAUUUAUUAAAUAAGAAAUUUUGGUAGUUUAGUUGGGGCGACUACUUUCUACUAUAAACGAAAGUAAACAAAAUUAAUUAAUUAAUUUACUGUAUAAUUCAUAAAUUUAACAGUUAUAAAUAUAGGUUAUAAUGAUCCGUUUUUACUUAAGAAAAGGAAAAACGAUCAAUAAAUAAAAGCUACCUUAGGGAUAACAGGAUAAUUUUAUUUUAGAGAUCUUAUCGAAGAUAAAGUUUGUCACCUCUAUGUUGAAUUAAGGUAUCCUAAUAGUGCAGCAGCCAUUAAGGGUAGUCUGUUCGACCUUUAAAAC
rnacentral:rRNA from 1 species